rnacentral:rRNA from 1 species
AUUGAACGCUGGCGGCAGGCCUAACACAUGCAAGUCGAGCGGCAGCGGGAAAGUAGCUUGCUACUUUUGCCGGCGAGCGGCGGACGGGUGAGUAAUGCCUGGGAAAUUGCCCAGUCGAGGGGGAUAACAGUUGGAAACGACUGCUAAUACCGCAUACGCCCUACGGGGGAAAGCAGGGGACCUUCGGGCCUUGCGCGAUUGGAUAUGCCCAGGUGGGAUUAGCUAGUUGGUGAGGUAAUGGCUCACCAAGGCGACGAUCCCUAGCUGGUCUGAGAGGAUGAUCGGCCACACUGGAACUGCGACACGGUCCAGACUCCUACGGGGGGCAGCAGUGGGGAAUAUUGCACAAUGGGGGAAACCCUGAUGCAGCCAUGCCGCGUGUGUGAAGAAGGCCUUCGGGUUGUAAAGCACUGUCAGCGAGGAGGAAAGGUCAGUAGCUAAUAUCUGCUGACUGUGACGUUACUCGCAGAAGAAGCACCGGCUAACUCCGUGCCAGCCGCCGCAGUAAAAC